rnacentral:tRNA from 1 species
GGUCUUGUAUUCAAUUAUGAUUUUAAAUUGCAAAUUUAAGGGUAAGAAUAAUCUUUAAGGCUU